GACGAGGGGCCUAGCGUUGUUCGGAAUUACUGGGCGUAAAGCGUAUGUAGGCGGGUCUUUAAGUCAGGGGUGAAAUCCUGGAGCUCAACUCCAGAACUGCCUUUGAUACUGAAGAUCUUGAGUUCGGGAGAGGUGAGUGGAACUGCGAGUGUAGAGGUGAAAUUCGUAGAUAUUCGCAAGAACACCAGUGGCGAAGGCGGAGCUCA
rnacentral:rRNA from 1 species